rnacentral:tRNA from 1 species
GGGACUAUAGUUUAAUAAAAUAUUUAUUUAGCAAAUAAAAGAUGUAUAAUUACUUGUCUUA